rnacentral:rRNA from 1 species
UACGAAGGACCCAAGCGUUAUCCGGAUUCAUUGGGUUUAAAGGGUGCGUAGGCGGAUUGAUAAGUCAGUGGUGAAAGCCCAUCGCUUAACGAUGGAACUGCCAUUGAUACUGUCGAUCUUGAGUACAUUUGAAGUGGGCGGAAUGUGUCAUGUAGCGGUGAAAUGCUUAGAUAUGACACAGAACACCGAUUGCGAAGGCAGCUCACUAAACUGUAACUGACGCUGAGGCACGAAAGCGUGGGGAUCAAACAGG